rnacentral:rRNA from 1 species
UACGUAGGGUGCAAGCGUUAAUCGGAAUUACUGGGCGUAAAGCGUGCGCAGGCGGUUAUGUAAGACAGUUGUGAAAUCCCCGGGCUCAACCUGGGAACUGCAUCUGUGACUGCAUAGCUAGAGUACGGUAGAGGGGGAUGGAAUUCCGCGUGUAGCAGUGAAAUGCGUAGAUAUGCGGAGGAACACCGAUGGCGAAGGCAAUCCCCUGGAC